GUCAGGAUGGCCGAGUGGUCUAAGGUGCCAGACUUAAGUUCUAGGGGCGUGGGUUCAAAUCCCACUCCUGACA